GGGGAUGAUAUGAAUCUGGCUGCAGUACCAGUCACCACAUUGAUGGCCCGAAUUUAUUCCAUUGACCUGGCAGACUGGACUGGUGUUUCCUUAUUUUCUCAUGUGCAGUUUUCCUAAAGUUGUAUAUUCAGGAAGAAAAGCUUAAUUUCCUGGACUAUUCUGGACAUGUGAUUCAGCUGCCUCUGUUCUGCCAUUGGAAAGGUGUGUAAACAAAACUUAUGGGAACACCAGGGAAAGGUUCAUGGAGAAGGUUCUUUUUCAGCUU
ensembl:misc_RNA 7SK 7SK RNA